GGGUGCAGCAGGCGCGAAAACUUUACACUGCGCGAAAGCGCGAUAAGGGGACCUCGAGUGCGUGCGCAAUGCGUACGCUUUUCACACGCCUAAAAAGCAUGUGGAAUAAGAGCCGGGCAAGACCGGUGCCAGCCGCCGCGGUAACACCGGCGGCUCGAGUGGUGGCCGCUAUUAUUGGGCUUAAAGGGUCCGUAGCCGGACCAGUUAGUCCAUUGGGAAAUCUUACGGCUUAACCGUAAGGCUGCCAGUGGAUACUGCUGGUCUUGGGACCGGGAGAGGCAAGAGGUACCUCAGGGGUAGGAGUGAAAUCCUGUAAUCCUUGAGGGACCGCCAGUGGCGAAGGCGUCUUGCUAGAACGGGUCCGACGGUGAGGGACGAAAGCUAGGGGCACGAACCGGAUUAGAUACCCGGGUAGUCCUAGCCGUAAACGAUGCGAGCUAGGUGUCACGUGGAUUGCGAAUCCAUGUGGUGCCGUAGGGAAACCGUGAAGCUCGCCGCCUGGGAAGUACGGCCGCAAGGCUGAAACUUAAAGGAAUUGGCGGGGGAGCAC
rnacentral:rRNA from 1 species